AAAUGGCUGUGAGUAAGCGGUGAGUGCUUGGAAUUCCUCAUCUGUACUCGCUGUACUUUUAUUCACAGGCUGUUUGCUUCCUCGUUGGGUAAAAGCUUGGAUCCAGGAGGAUGAUUCCAGCUGCACUGGUACAGAAAUUGUCCAGGAACCCUACCCGGAGGAGAGACUCUCAGAAGUGAACCUGAUCAGCCUGAACAUCCUUCUAAGCAGACAUGAACAGUCCUCAGCUUUCUGCCUCCUGCAUAAAUGGCUAAAAAGAAGUCAUGUGCCAGUCUACUGCCCUCAUGCGAUGGAAAGUGAGCGAGAGCGAUGAGACCGUGAGCAUGGUUGAUGCCACGCAAAAGCCGUCCAUCUGGCAGCAGAAGAGCUGUCACUGUCAGUGAGAUAAGUGUCUGUUUUGGUGAGGGCUCUGCUCAUGGCCCACGUUGAUGCUGGUAAGGAUGCCCCGUUAGCUAGGGCUGGGUUUGUAAGAAAAGGUUCCUGACUAGCUGUGGUUGUAAGA